rnacentral:lncRNA from 1 species
CGAAAGGUGUUCGCAUGUAUAUCCGAAGGUCUUCUUCUACAACAAUCAAAGAAGGAGAUCAGAUCUAAACCUAAAGAAGUGAGAUCUACAAGAGAGCUAGCACCUCAAUAGUCUCAGGUGCUUCGAUCUGCUUUAGCCCUAUAUGGAUAUCCGUAGAGGUUGAACGUGUAUGCGGCUUUGACAAGAACCUGUAGACAUCCUUAAAUUCGAUCUGAAGGAGUCUAGCACUUC